rnacentral:lncRNA from 12 species
AUGCUAGGUGAGAGAUUCCACAGUGAAGUUAUAACAAUAUCAGCUUCUUGGCAUACUCUAACUCCAUUUGUUAAACCACUAAGGCAAAAGGCUGCUAAAACUGUUAAUUUUCUGCAACUCUCAGAUGGGGUCAUCAGCCCAAAGGAAAAAAUAUCCCCCAAAGUUAAGUGCCUUCUGGAAUCUACUUUAGGCCAGACAGCUUUCACCAUUAUCAAUUAA